UCCAGCGACUGCUCUGGGAACCCGUCCUGCCUGCUGUGAGCUGGGAGGAUCGGCUGGGGACCAGAAGAUCAUAGCCGCUGGCCUCUGCUGACCCCGCCGCUGCUCUCCUCGUGGUGCCUGUAAUCGCUACCCGACCUGUCUCCCGGCCUGCCACGAUCACACGGCCUCCUUUCUCCCCCUGCUGCAGGAAGCUGAGAGGAGGUGCUGGUCAGUUCUCCCCAGCGCUUGUGCCUGCAUGUCUCAUAGGACAGGCGAAGCGGGUUAUCCCAACAAACCUUGGCUCUUGACCCCAUUGUCAAAUCCUGUCGGUGAAGCCCAAGAAUGGUACCAAGAGACACACAUUGCAUCGCAGGGAAUAAUUGAGCGUGCCUUCGGUGUACUUAAAACCCAGUUUUGAUGUUUAGACUCUUCCGGUGGUGCUCUUCUAUACUCACCAUCGAAGGUUUGCUGCAUAGUAAAUGGAUGUUGUAUUCUACACAACAUAUGUGUCGCAAACCGUUUGCCGGUGACUCUUUGUCGCAGGGCUUUCCGCAACGGGAACCGUUCUUCUGCUCCACCGGUGGGUAUGGACGAAGGACAUGAAGCUUGAAGAAUUUUGAUCAAGACGUAUUUUUCCUCAGCCUAGUUGUCCCGUUGACGUCCUGUUGACGUCCUGUUAUCCACAAGUUGCAUCCUGUUGAUGGGUUGUCACAGUUCUUCUGCCAGUUUACCCCCCUGUACCAUGGACGGCCUACUUGUGAUGUGGACCUGCCCCACCACCAUGUUACAAAGACACCCUUCAGGUCCUACGGAGAAUCUUCUCCCAAAGUGAAAAGUACCCUCGUCGGAUGUAGGGUGACACUACAGUACCCCAGCUAUACCAUGAAUUGCCUACUUGUGAUGUGGACCUGCCCCUCCGCCAUGUUACAAAGACACCCUUCAGGUCCUACGGAGUAGCCCUUCCAAAGUGAAAAGUACCCUCUCCGGAUGUAAAGUGACACUACAGUAGCCGUACCCCAGCUAUACCAUGGACUGCCUACUUGUGAUGUGGGCCUGCCCCUCCAUCAUGUUACAAAGACACCCUUCAGGUCUUACGGAGAAAGCCCUCCCAAAGUUAAAAGUACCCUCUCUGGAUGUAAAGUGACACUACAGUACCCCCCUCUACCAUGGACGGCCUACCACAAGACCUUCAAUACCACCGCAUUCGUGAAAUGCCUUAUUGUUAAUUUCAUUCACCUUUAAUUUAAAUAAAAAAACA